rnacentral:tRNA from 1 species
GGGGAUAUAGCUCAGUGGUAGAGCACUUACCCAGCACACACAAGGCCCUACAUUUGCAAGGUCCUGGGUUCAGAUCCCAGUAACCUUG